rnacentral:lncRNA from 10 species
ACUCCUGGCGGGACCUACGCGGUAGAAGUUUCUACUAAGUGAAAAGGAAGAGCGAGGGAUUCUUUUCUCUGUGGUCUACAGCAGCAGCACUAUUAUUAAAAAUAUUUGGAAAGACAACCUGUAAAUACAAUCAAGUGGCAUCUUAAAUUUUUGCUGGAAGUGGAGUCAUGAGACUAAAGAUAUCUCUUUUAAAAGAACCAAAGCAUAUCCUUUUAAUGCUUAUAAAUCUUAUUGGAUUUUCUUAAUUAUAGUAUUGUUAAAAGUUUCUCUAUUUUAUAUCCUAGUUGAAGAAUAGAUUUUUUUUUUCAUUCCUUUAGUGGCUGUUUACCUAAAUUGUUUUAAAGUAUUUAAGAUCAUGUGUUAAAAAUCUGGUCCUUCAUCAGAACUAGGAAAGCACUGAUUUAAACAUUUGGUCAGACAUUUUAAAUUGAAUUAGUAAGCUGUGUGGGCUGGACUACUGCUGAAGAGCUGUAUUCAUGUAGUGAUGAUCACCAGAUAGUGAAGUGGAACUUGUUAACCAGUGAAACAACUCAAAUAGUAAAGC